UACAGAGGGGGGCGAGCGUUGUUCGGAAUUACUGGGCGUAAAGGGCGCGUAGGCGGCCUUCUAAGUCGAACGUGAAAUCCCCGGGCUCAACCCGGGAACUGCGUCCGAUACUGGCAGGCUUGAAUCCGGGAGAGGGAUGUGGAAUUCCAGGUGUAGCGGUGAAAUGCGUAGAUAUCUGGAGGAACACCGGUGGCGAAGGCGGCAUCCUGGACCGGUAUUGACGCUGAGGCGCGAAAAGCCAGGGG
rnacentral:rRNA from 1 species